AACCAUUCUCACCUGCGGCUAGACCUGCGGAAGGAUCAUUACGAAAUUAUAGGCCGGUCUGACCGGUUCUAUUCUACCCUGUUUUUUGCGCACCUUUUGUUUCCUCGGUGGGCUUGCCUGCCGAUAGGACAAUUUCAACUCUUCAUAGUUUUUAGCAAUCAGCGUCAAAAUUUACUAAAUUGUAACAACUUUCAACAAUGGAUCU
rnacentral:misc_RNA from 1 species